rnacentral:tRNA from 1 species
AGUUUCGUGGUGACAACACAUCAGAUUGCAAAUCUGAAGAAGUAGGAUAAUAUCUACCGAAACUU